rnacentral:pre_miRNA from 1 species
ACCUAGUGCAUUUGCACUGUUUAUAUUCAACGCUCGAUCAUCCAUCUAAUUUUAAAAAUUUAUGAUUAGUAUUAUUAUUGUUAGAUGGUAAAAUAUGAAUAGCAAUUAAUGUGUGACUAUUUUUUAAAUUUUUUGUAAAUUUUUAAAUAAGGUGAACGGUCAACGUUGAGCACGAAAAUCCAUAAAUAUAUUUAUA